rnacentral:tRNA from 1 species
GCCCUGAUAACUCAGUUGGAUAGAGUAUCCCCCUCCUAAGGGGAAAGCCAGAGGUUCGACUCCUCUUCAGGGCG